GACGAACGCUGGCGGCGUGCUUAACACAUGCAAGUCGAACGAAGAGCGAUGGAAGCUUGCUUCUAUCAAUCUUAGUGGCGAACGGGUGAGUAACGCGUAAUCAACCUGCCCUUCAGAGGGGGACAACAGUUGGAAACGACUGCUAAUACCGCAUACGAUCUAACCUCGGCAUCGAGGAUGGAUGAAAGGUGGCCUCUAUUUAUAAGCUAUCACUGAAGGAGGGGAUUGCGUCUGAUUAGCCAGUUGGAGGGGUAACGGCCCACCAAGGCGAUGAUCAGUAGCCGGUCUGAGAGGAUGAACGGCCACAUUGGGACUGAGACACGGCCCAGACUCCUACGGGAGGCAGCAGUGGGGAAUCUUCCGCAAUGGACGAAAGUCUGACGGAGCAACGCCGCGUGAGUGAUGACGGCCUUCGGGUUGUAAAGCUCGGUUAAUCGGGACGAAAGGCCUUCUUGCGAAUAGUUAGAAGGAUUGACGGUACCGGAAGAGAAAGCCACGGCUAACUACGUG
rnacentral:rRNA from 1 species